UGGGGAAUUUUGGACAAUGGGGGCAACCCUGAUCCAGCGAUGCCGCGUGGGUGAAGAAGGCCUGCGGGUUGUAAAGCCCUUUCGAUGGUGAAGAGGUGGGAUAGUGUUAAUAGCGCUAUUUUAUGACGGUAACCACAAAAGAAGCACCGGCUAACUCUGUGCCAGCAGCCGCGGUAAGACAGAGGGUGCAAGCGUUAAUCGGAAUUACUGGGCGUAAAGGGCGUGUAGGUGGAUUCAUAAGUCAGAUGUGAAAGCCCUGGGCUUAACCUAGGAACUGCAUAUGAAACUGUGAGUCUUGAGUGAAGUAGAGGGUGGCGGAAUUUCCGGUGUAGCGGUGAAAUGCGUAGAUAUCGGAAGGAACACCUGAGGUGAAGACGGGUUGCUGGGCUGACACUGACGCUGAGGCGCGAAAGCCAGGGGAGCAAACGGGAUUAGAUACCCCCGUAGUCCCUGAGCGGGCUGGCAAGGCGCAU
rnacentral:rRNA from 1 species